UAAAAUUAGUGGAUAGACAAUCUGCGAAGGUCACCUGUGGGUAGCUACCGAUUCUUCAAAGUUCAGAGACGUUAUCGUCCAUCAAGAAACCAAGAUUGCAAGACUUUGCAACACAAAUCUGAAAAUACACGCCAGCACGCAGGGAUCUUUGUGCGGAUGGUUCUUUGUUUAUGCUGUAUGCGCCCUGCGAUCGCCAGCCGACCAGUUUGGGAUGUACCUCUCCAACGAUACCGGAGAUAGGGCCCAGCACACCCACAACCCUUGUGAGGAUAAGCGAUAAAUGAUUUAUUGAACUCAACUCGAAAAACCGACCAAACUGCCUGUGCCGCAUGGAGAGGGGUUCGGCGGAAGCCCGGCUAUUUGGGCCACAUCACGUCCAAUCACAGCGACAGACAGCCAACAGGUUACUUUGCAUUUUAAUUAUGAGAAGGUCAAGUCACGGUUUGUCCACCAGCAUGCGAUUAAACAUGGACUGGACGCAUAAUUUAUAGAGCACGGAGGUCGCUUUGACCCCGUCGCAAUUUUUACAAUCUCCCACAAGCCAGUCUUGGUGCAAUGUAAAUGAACCUAGUAAUUUAUGACAGAAGGUUAUUCAUGAGAACUAAAGAGGGGGGAAAAAACAAUCAAUAAUGCAUGUUUAGGCAAUUUUAUUAACUGUCUGUUUCUCAUAAAUCAUCCUCACUCCAAGCUGUUUUCUUCAUCACACGUGGUUAUGGCUUUUUAAAUGUGGAAAAGGCAACUGGAAACAAAGAGUACAAAUUCAGUCCUGCUAGAUUUUAUGAUCUUUCCAGUUUCUGUCACCCAGCAGGAAUGGCUGCGCUUCUGAAGUCUCAUUUCUCAUCGCCACUACGGAGGUGUUUUGAGAGUCAGCAUUGAUGAAUGCAUGAGGUGAAAAUAUACAUCUCUGACAUGAAUUACAUUCUGUUGUUUCAAAACUUUACAGGUGUCAAGCAAAUUCCUCCAGUCCCUCCAACUGGCUUUGUGUAAUGUGAAAGAGUCAGUGGUCUCAAGUACAAAUCGUUGUCAUGGUAACCUACCUUUUCAUAGGACAGGAUGCCAAGGAUUUGUUCAACC